rnacentral:rRNA from 1 species
UACAGAGGUGGCAAGCGUUGUUCGGAAUUACUGGGCGUAAAGGGCGCGUAGGCGGCCUACUAAGUCAGACGUGAAAUCCCCCGGCUUAACCUGGGAACUGCGUCUGAUACUGGAAGGCUUGAGGAUGGGAGAGGGAUGUAGAAUUCCAGGUGUAGCGGUGAAAUGCGUAGAUAUCUGGAGGAAUACCGGUGGCGAAGGCGGCAUCCUGGACCAUUACUGACGCUGAGGCGCGAAAGCGUGGGGAGCAAACAGG